GAUAAAGUAUGACCCCUUCGGGGGUAGACUUCUCACACCCUAUGUUUACAUACCAUUGUUGCUUUGGCCGGCCGCGGCCUCCGCUGCGGGCUCACGCUCGCACGUGCCGGCCAGAGGACCCAACUCUUGAUUUUAGUGAUGUCUGAGUACUAUUAAAUAGUUAAAACUUUCAACAACGGAUCUCUUGGUUCU
rnacentral:misc_RNA from 1 species